GUUGCUCAUCAAUGUGUCAUCAUACAUGCAGCAGAGUUAGCUUACUGCCAUAAUAAAAAUAUAAAAAAUACAGAUUCCUGAGUAAUAUGUGUGUUUCCAGGAUCAUGGAGAAGAGGACUUGAGGGAGCCUGUUAAAGAGCGGAUGUGAGGGAGGACAGUAAAAAGCUUAGGGAUCAGGAGAGGGCUCGGUAUAAAGGCUGCCUGGGACAAGCAGACGCUCAGACCAGUGCGGCUCUGCUCAUCUUAAAGCACACUUCCUUAAACAACUGACCAAAGCUGACACAGCACGACAAAGCAGAAUGAGCAUGCGCAGAGCAGUGUCUGGUUGCUUGGUGCUGGCGUGCCUGGUGGUGCUGCUGGCCGAGAGGACAGAGGGACACAUCACCUUCUUCAGUCCAAAGGAGAUGAUGCUGAUGAAGGAGAGAGAAGGUAGAAAGGACAUAGAGCCUCGAUCAGAGGACGGUCCGUUUGAAGAGGUUACAGUCCAACAGCUUCCUGAGGUGGAACGUGGUGGAAAUCCUGAUAAAACAGUGGAGAUUGCCAUCCGUCUUUCACCAAAACAGCUAGAUCAUGUGGCUCCAGUGCUCGAAGACAUCAUCCAUGAAAUAGUGGAGGAACGUCAGAAAGCCAAAUAGCGAGGCCGAAGACACCGGGAGAUAACGCUGUACAAAUUCUUCAAAAAGCACUGAAUGUUUUAAUGUGUUUUAAUGAAACAGUCAAUAAAAGGAAAGUGACUGUGUCACUUAAUGGAACUGCAGUUGUCAUUUCUGAAGAAGCAAGUCUGUAUGAGUUGGCCUCAUGGUAAAACCUUUUCAUGACUAAUACGUGUUAAGUGAUGAGCAUAUCUGGUCUGUUAUUCACACAAAUGAAAAUGACAAAGCUUUGUCAUUUUACAAAUAUUCAACACAUGAUUCAUUGAGCUUCACAUUUUUGGAGCUUUUUGACUAUCUUUAUUCAAGAGCGUGUUUUUCAAUUUGAGAGCAUGCCUCCUAAUAUUUCACAUUCAGAUUUUGCAAUGCGUUCCCCUAUAAUGGUAAUUUUUAUCUUGUCUUGUACUGUCCUAUUCUCCGUAUGCUCAUCUUAUGUUUGUCCUACUUACAGCGAUUAGGAGUAGAGCACACUCUGGUCAUGUCAGCUUGUAUUCUUGUAUCUCUAGAUGUGUCAGCUUGUAUCUCUUAAAUCAGCUGGAUGUACGUAGUUGCACAGCUGAUUGUCUGUAAACAUUGUCACCCAGUUGAUGACUAUAUAGUCCAAUUGUAUUCUCUGUUCGUUGAACUUCACUGCAGACUGCUUGACACUCUGUUGUUUGUUGUUCCAUUCUUGCAAGAAUAAAGAGCUCACUUCUUUAACCAAGAAUCUUUAUUUCAGUAUAAUAGAUUCACUUCUCACCACCCUUUGGUUUAGUUUGUAUCGGCUGAAUUCCACAACACCCCCCAAACCAUGUCCUCACAUUCACACAGCCCCUGCUUGUGCUUAGAUUUGUUCUGCCUCUCCUCAAACUUCAUGCUUGCACAGAUUUUUGCGCUCCACCUCCAGCCCUUCUCCUCACACUCAGGCUGCUUCUGUACUUGUGAAACGCCUGCUCUCGGAUUUCUCCUCUAGUCUUGGAUUAUUGACAAAAUUCCCCAACCAAUAGAAUGCCAGGUGAAGUGUUGACCAAUGAAAUGAUCCCUACCUUGUUGUGGGUACAUUUGCUUUACUUUGUAAGUGUCCCAGACGGGCUGUUACGCUUUAACAAGGUUCAUUCAUUCCCUUCCGCCUCCAAGGCUUAAUAUAUGUAGUUCCCUGCAUUUGUUUUGGAAUAAAAUAACAGUCAAUAUACAUAUACAGUAUCUUUUUUGUUUUCUUUAAUGACUAUACUGGAGCCAACUUUUUUAUUUUGCCAUACCCUGGCGAGGAUGGCGUACAUCAACGUCAGCUCAUGUUGACCGCUGCACACAGAGAGAUAUUAGCUUGCUGAUGCUAGCUAAAACUUCUACUUAAUACACCCAUGGUCUGCACUGCAUUAGGCUAUCUCCCUCGCUGUAGCUAUAAUUAAUUUCCUUCCAAGCUUAAACUGAACAUACAUAUGUUUUUUCCAAUAGUGAGUGAGGACUGG
ensembl:lncRNA